AUGCAUCGUAAUUUGACAACGAAGAAAUAUAUAGUAUGUACCUGCGCCACAGUCAUGUUUCCCAAGUUCUUCUCAAUGUGCUCUUUGGUUAUCUUGCUGUCUUGGUCACCAUACACGGCCCGGUCAAGCUUGCUCGUGAGUGUGAGAGCGGUGACGAGCUCGAUGGAGAGGGGGUUUGCCCCUGCGAGUGUUUGCCUGGCGAACUCUUCAUCCGUCCGCCAAGCUGUUCGAUUCGCUAUAUAUACACCAAAAAUAGGUUUGAUGAGUUCAACUUCCGUGGAAUCACGCAUACAUACGUACUUACUUUAUAAUACACCUGGGCAUGGGUGGCCUGGCCGGACAGGUCCGUCCAAGCUGGCUCGGGGCUAA
rnacentral:rRNA from 1 species